CCGGGAAACUGGGGCUAAUACCAGAUAGGCGAGGACGCCUGGAAUGGUUCUUCACCCAAAGGACUUUGGAAGCAUGCUUUCAAAGUCGCCUGGGGAUGGGGCCGCGUCCGAUCAGGUUGUUGGUGAGGUAACGGCUCACCAAGCCUAUAACCGGUACGGGCCGUGAGAGCGGUAGCCUGGAGAUGGGCACUGAGACAAGGGCCCAGGCCCUACGGGGCGCAGCAGUCGCUAAAACUCCGCAAUGCACGAAAGUGUGACGGGGCUACCCCGAGUGCCGUCCGCUGAGGAUGGCUUUUCCUCAGUGUAACUAGCCGGGGGAAUAAGGAGAGGGCAAGACUGGUGUCAGCCGCCGUGGUAAUACCAGCUCUCCGAGUUGUAGGGACGAUUAUUGGGCUUAAAGCGUCCGUAGCUGGCUUA
rnacentral:rRNA from 1 species